GUUGCCAUGUUGUGAGGCCACUUAAUCGGCCCUAUGGACAGGUCCAUGUGGAAAGAAACUGAGGCCCACUGCCAACAGGCAGCAAGAACUGAGGCCUCCUGCCAACAGCGAUGUGAGUGAGCCGUGCUGGAAGCUGAGCUGAUAGUCCUAGUCAUGCUUUCAGCUGACUGGAGCCCCAGCAACAUCCAGACUGUAACCUCAGAAGAGACUCUGAGCCAGAAUAACCCAGCUAAGCUGCUCCCAGAUUCCUGACCCUCAGAAACCGUAUCAGAAAGAAGUUAGCUCACCUGAGGCUUCCUAUAGAGGCUGCCGUGCUGCGGUACCCAGAGCGUGCUUCUGGAUGGCGAUUAAGCAACGGGAACAAGUUCUGGAGAAAAUUUACCACAAUCAUCCGAAGUUUGAACGCUCAUCCUCCAAGCACAAGUUGAAGGGGCUCCUUCUCCGUUGCUGUCAACUGCAGAAUGUCCUCUCCAAUGGGGAUGAGGUGUGGAGCUUAGAGAGCGUGGAUAACAUGAGCAUCGCUGGGCAGGUGAAAUGAGAAAGCACUGUGCCUGACCCCGCCCCUCUGCCGCCUCCCCCGGCUUCCUAACCACACACAGUGUAGGUCUCACGUUGCUGACUCACACGGCCCACUAGCUGGAGACAUUCUGGAGGGUUGACUGCCACAAGCCCAAAUCAUGGGUUUGUCAUGUUAUUUUCAAAUGUGGUCUUUCCUACUUUCUAUUAUGGAUGUCAGAUUUUCCUCCUUCCCUAAAAGUUAUCUUUACACACACACACACACCCCUGCAUCUGGGUGGGGGGAGGUGGACGUGCGAGACAGCAAAAAUACAUGUUAAAUUCGGGUCACCUUAUGUCUUAGGCUGCUAUAACAAAGUACCGUAGCCUAUUGGCUCACAAACAACAGAAAUUUAUUUCUCACAGGUCUGGAGGCUGAAAGUCUGAGAUCAGGGUGCCAGCAGGGUCAGGCAAGGGUCCUCUUCUGGGCUGCAGACUUCUCGUUGUAUUUUCACAUGGCAGAAAGAGGGUGAGAGAGCUCUCUGGGGUCCCUUUUAUAAGAGCACUAAUCCAACCUCAGGACCUACUCACCUCCCAAAGGCCCCACCUCCUAGCACCGUCACCUUGAGGGGGUAGGAUCUCAACAUGUGAAUUUGAGGGGGACACAGACAUUCAGUCCGCUUCAUGCCAUUUCCUCGGUUCUAGGAGGAACACUUUCUCAUGCUUUAACCAUUUUGAAAUCUCCAUGUCUUACACUCGCCGUCAACUAAGCAGCAGUGUGACAUAGUUGUCAUUGCCACUGUAUGAGCAUCAGAGCUUAGAGAAUGGGUGAGGCUUGGGGGAAAAUCCCAAGGACAACUGUGGAGCACUUUGAAAAGAAAUACGGCCUUACCAAACUCUCCUGGGAGCUCCUGAUGGCUCACAGGACAACGGUGUGUGGGAAAACAUGGAUUUCAAAGGUCCCGCAUCGAAGAGCGAUUUCAAAGAGGUAAAUUCUGACUGUGAAAAUGUUUUACACAUACCUUAACCAAUUUAUUUAGUCUAUAUUUCCCUUUUUGUGUAUGCAGAAAAGUGAUAUAUGAUUUAAAAAAUUCCAUGUCCAAAUAGAUCUAAAAGAGCUCUUUUAAUACAUUUAAAAUAAAAAUUAAAAGUGCCAAGAAAGCAUUGUGACACACGUAGUUAGAUGUCAGCGUUUCUCCUUUCUGAGUGCUCCAUUAACUGACAGCGCAUCUUACACCAAUUUAGUUUAGAUUCCGUGAAAUACAGUAGUGUUUAUGUUUUAUGUUUCAAUAGUCAUCAAUCUGUUUCUAAUGUAUUCAUGGAAAAAUAUGUGAGCCAUCUUGCCAUUAAACUGUUUUUGAAAUCGCGUGGAAGCCUGCCCAUGUCUUUGUAAUUUACUUAAGAAACUCUCUUGCUUUCGGGAGGACGAGUUUCAAUAUCGUAAGGCUCUCUCUCUGGGUAUAUUUUUGGUUAAGUUUUUGUUAAUCCUGGCAUUUGUCUAAAGCAAUGAAAGGCAAGUGAAAUUAAAAUGCUCACAUUAUAAAAUGUGCAAUCCGGAGAACAAAAACUCAGUUGUGCAAAGUUGGUGUGGCUUUGAUAAAAACAGUUCUGGUCAAAAGCCUGGCCUGUUGGCUCCAGCAGUGACUGACUUACGAUGAGGGACACAUAUGUGCGUCCUUGAGUUUUCUUGGUGGGGCCCAUGGAUUUAUUUAAUAUAUUUAAAUAGAAAAUUUUACCCUUAUCAUUGCUGCUGCAGGUGUAUUUAUUUAUACUAUCUUUGCUUUUAGAAAAACACUGCUAUAUCAUAAAAAUAUUUCAACCUUAAAUUACUUCCCACAAGCCUCAAGUUUCAGGCAGUUCAUAUCUGGGCAUAAAGAGAAAUCAAUGUAUUCUGGCUUGAAGGGCAAUGGAGUUUGGUAUUUGUCACACUUUGAGAGAUAACAAAUGCCUCGCAUAAAAUAGACCCAUUCUUUCCACUUUGCACCGUUGUUUCAGUCCGGCACUGCCACGCCGUCAUUAUGUCUGCGCUGACAGCGGUGUCCAGGCUUGCAGGAAACUGCGUUUCCGAGAAAGCUGAAUGCAGACGUCCCCCGAUUGGCGUGCACCUGCGCUAACCAGAGCUCCCACCUGAAACGAGCUCCCUGAUCUGGGGUUUGGUGCCCUGUUGGCUUUUCGAACAAACGGCUGCUCUCCCUCCCCCGCUCCCCUCACUGAAGCCCAGAUGCUCAGUGUCCCCUCCCUGCCCACUGUGGCGGGAGCCCAGGUCCCUCCUUCCGUGUUCACUCUCCUCCCUACCGUCCGAGAGCCGCUAGGGCUCCAGGUCUGGGGUCAGAGAUUGCUCCCACUGUCCCAAUACCUUGAUGGGGAGAAAGGUUUCAGCCUCUCUGAUCAGGGGGCUCCCCUGCUUGAAAGCCUUUAAUGGCGCCCGUUGUCCUGAGGGUCAGGUCCAAGCUCCUAAAGCAGCUCCCCAAACCCUCCCUCAUCUCCCGGCGCUUCUGCGCCCCUCUGCGGCGCCUGCCUCAGUCCCCAGCCCUCCGCAGCCGUUCUCCUCCCGCUGGACCUGCGUCCAGUCCCCCGACCUGCCACCCUAUCCCUGGCUCCCGCUGUGUGCGCAAGGCCUAGAGGGGGCUCAACUGGUUUUGGGGAGUCCUGCAAACGCACUGCCCCAAGCCUUGCGGUUUUGAUGGGAAAACACAUUCCAAACCAGCGUUCAAACCCGCGUGUGGGGCACAGACGCGGCCUGCACGCUUUGUUAAAGGAAUCCGGUUACAUUAGAAGAGGCUGGGCCCCGCCGCCAACCCCCUGCUCCUGUAAGAACCCCUGUGUAGGGAUUCUUACCAGAAGCUUCCAGCCGCCCACAGAAGCCAGGCCGACAUUCCGUGCCCGCCGUCUGGCACGUGAAGGCGUUGGGAACAGAAGCGGGAACGCGCCCCCUCGCGCCGCGCGGCUCCACAGCGCGCGUCCUCGGGGCCUCCGACAGGCCACCUGGGCUGCUGCGAGCUCAUUCUCGGGCGUUAACAGGUGUGGAGCUGGUAUUUAUCCGCAGCGGCGUUUCCCUGUGCGGCCGCUGCGAGCUCCCAUCUUCUUCCUAACCGCCGCAGGGCACCUUCGCUUCCCCGUGGUUCAAACAGCGCAGGAACUCUGGCUGGCUCAAGGUUUCUGAUGCCACAUCGGCAAACAUUUCUGUUACCCUUAACGAAACCAGCAGGUGACUUUUCUCUGGCCACAGUGAAAGCAGAGGCCUGCUCAGGUAAGUCCGGGACAGCGAGCCAGAGUCAGGGCCAUCCCAGGGGCGCAGAAUCUCAGGGGAGAGGACCACAGGGUGGGCCCUCUGGAAGCAUUUUCAUGCAGCUGAAGAAGGAAAGCCUACAGGGCCUCUUGGCUGAAGUGAAGAAGUGACUCUAAGCAGACAGAGAGGAGGAGGGACUCGGCGCCUGUGUGUGUGUGUGUGUGUGUGUGUGUGUGUGUGUGUGUGCAGGGUCUCUGUGGAUUGGUGACUAUGAUGAGCCUCAGGACUCACUCAGCAUCUGCUGAUGAGUUUGCCUUAUUUCCUGACCGUUUCCCAGGUCAAGUCUCUUCCUAUGACACCUACUGUUUCUCCAGCGCUCCCUCUAGCUCCAGGGCCGUCCUAGGACGUUCAUACAUGAUCUCAUUUAACCCCCAGACAGGCCUGCGGCCAGCACUAUUACCCCUCCUUAACACAGCAGGAGACGGAGCUUGGGGAGUUGACGCUACUUUUCCAAAUCCUGAAGCCAAGUCCCCAGGAUGCCACCGCCCACAAGCUGUUCUGCCACCGUUGGUCUCCCUGGGGACCAUAUGGAGAUGGGGGCCACGUCCCCUCCAAAGAUGCAGUGGAGGAAAGAGACUAAGAGCACAUUCCCAGACUUCUCAGCAUCCUUCAAAAUGUGUUUUCAGAAAUCCAGGAAAAAUGGCUGCUUGCUGAGAUUUGGGGAUAGAAAGCCUAUUUGACUGGUGAGACCUUCCUACUCUCUCCUUUUCAUUGCCCUUCUACAUUCAGUUAGCCACCUUACUCUCCUGCUUAACCCCUUUGAAUGGUGCCCAUUGCCCUCAGGGUCAGGUCUCACUCCUUAGGAUUCCCAGAUCUUCCAGAACCCUUCACUGUCAGAGCAAGCCCACUACAUUCUGUAGUUUAAAGGGUGGCAAUAAUGCCGUUUCAAUUAAACCCCUCUCAGGAAUGACUGUCAGACCUGGGUUUGUGUGAGAAAGACAUUGGGUGUUGCUGGUGGAAAGGACUUGGUUUGAGUGACUCAGGACUUGCGAACAGCUCUUACCUCAACGGAACAGUUCUUCAGCUUCUUGUCAUUUCCUGCAGAAUCCUUCAGUGUACUCAGCCUUCCCGGAGCUGGGAUGAGUCUGGCUGCUUGGCUGGGUCCUCCUCCUUUACAGCCAUCCCAGCACCCAGAGGGCGGGUCUGGUAAGGUGCGGCCUUCAGUGUGGGGGCGUGUGCCCACUCCGCUUCCUCAAAUGAGCAGCUGCCUUUCGCUGCUGGGAAAAUACUUAAGUUUUGGCUGUAGCUGAGAGAGUUUGACAAGCCUUGCAAGGCACAAACAUUCUUUAUCUGCAGGAUGAGGUUAGUUUCUGUUUGGGCCUGGUGUUUUUGUAAGAAGGAAAUCGCUUUCAUAAGCAUCAGAUUAGCUCCAGGAAGCAUCGCAGGACAAUGAAAAGCUGGUAGAGGCAGAACGUCAGGAUUUUCUCAUUGGUCACUACUGCCACCUCCUGGCCAAACUUGUGAACUACACAGUAUGGGCUUCCUAGGGAAACUGUACGUUACUCAUGCCACUCUCCCUCUUUCUGCCAGUUCUCUGUGGUGCAAAACGGAAAUGAGAAGAAUUAUUUUUUAGAUGGAGUGUUUAUUGAUAUAUAUAAUAUUAGCAACGACGAUAAAGCCGACACAAGAAUGAUGAAUAAACACACGGUGGAUUGUUCUCAAUAGGGAAAAGACUUUAUCAAAGCAAUUUAUUCCACCUUCUGACUCAGUGUUAGCUUUGUCUAAAGUAAGUCUUCAGCCCUUUUCUGAGUUGCUAAGACCUCCUGCCUGCUCUCCAAAGCUGACUUCUUAGCAAAUUUAGGUUAAUCUACCAACCAUUUUGGACAAUCAGUAAAAAAUUAAGGACUUAAGUGAAAAUUGUAGCAUAAAAAAUUAUUGAGUCUAAAGCACGUCUUUAUGCAAUAAAAAAUAUAAGAUUUGGUAUCAGUUGUUAUCCUUAUUUCAUAUUGGUUUUAUUCUUAGGAUCUUACUUUCUAGAAAUUUAAAUUUUGAGUUAGUUGAAGGAUUAUUGUAGUACACACAGUACACGUAUAUUGACAGAGGUAGAAAUAAGUUUUUCCAGUUAUUUAAAUUUUAUUUUUUGGGGGGAGGUUGUGUUUUACCUUUAAUAUCAAAUGUGCUGAGAUCCACAGGGGUUUGAUUUCAGAACCGUGUUAAGGAUAUUGGCAGAGAUUUCUCAGAAUCUUUUCUCCCCUUCUUCCUCAACAACAGAGUCUUAGCCAGUCCGGGGCCACUGUGUUAAUCUGGGUGUUCUGAAAAGCAGAUGCUAAGAAGAGACUAAACAUGUAAGGAAUUGUUUAGGGGGAAUGUCUAUUAGAGAAGAUGGGGAGUGAAACCAGACCACAAUGCAGGUCUGACCCCAAGUGCAGGAGACGGGGAGGGCAGGCAGGCUGGGUGCAGCCUCUUAGGCGCCAGUGCAGUUCUCAGGAAAGUUCUGCAAAGCUGCUGGGAUCCUUGGGAUAGGCGGAUUUCAGAGAUGAUACCCGAUGACCUCUGCCUCCUGAUACCCAUGCCCUUACGUAACCCUUUUCCUUUGAGGGUGGACUACACCUGGUGACUAGCUUCUAAGGACUAGAAUAUGACAACGUGAGGCAUGUCUCUUUCCAUGAUGCUUAGGAAAGACUGUGACUUCCAUCUUACUGGACUCUCUCUCUUGCUAAUUCUGAUGAAGCAAACUGCCAUGUUGGAAAAUUUCAUGUAACAGGGAACUGAGAGCAUCCUCCAGCCAACAGCCAGGAAAGAACUGAGGCCCUCGGUCCAUCCGUGAGAUGCUCAAUCCUGACAACCAUCGCGAGCUGAGCUUGGAAGCAGAUGCUUUCCCUGUUAGGCCUCAGAUGGGACCACAGCCCUGGCUGGCCAGUGAGAGCUCUUGAUGCAGAGGACCCAGGCAAACUGUCCCUGAUCCCUGACCUACAGAGACGAUGGAAAAGAGGCUGGAGCUUAUUGCAGCUGAGGGACCUGAAGACAGUGUGACUCAAUCUUGGGUGCCUCUCCAUGAUGUGGGGCUUUGCUCUCAGGCAGUUACAAACCAUCCCUAAGCGUCUACUGGUUCCUAGCUCAGAACGUGGUCUUUUCCCCACAUCUGUGGCCCUCUAUGACCACAGAAUGGAGCCGUGUGGCUGACUGGCACCAUCGGCAGCUGAGCUUCAUGUGGCUGCCUCCAUAUCCCACCUCUUCCCUCUCAGCCUUGGGGCCCCCAUGCACCUGUGUCUCGGAGGAUUUGGGGGGCCCUGGGAGUUCCUGGGUCGACCUGGGAAUUCUGAUAAGACUCUGAGCAGCCACGCUUGCUCUUUCGCUGGAUUUGGAUCUCCAUGUUGGCCCAUGUGCUAGGCCACUGAGAGCCUUAGAGACACUUGUGUUCUGUUCUCAACAAGAAGGGAAGAAUAAAGGCCCUAAUGAAAACUGGGAACGUUUUAGAAAAUCUAACUUUCCAGGCCUACAAACAUAAGACAGGAAAGUGAGUGUAAGCCUGGAUUUGUGGUCUACACCAUAAGAUUUGGAGCUCUGCGGGUCCCUUCACAGGAGCAAACAGCAUGUGAAUCACCUUGCGUGCCCCAAAGCUCUGAGCAGGGCUGGCUGGCGGGGAGAAAAGCUGCAGCAACAGAUGCUUUUGGGGCAACCAGGUUGUCAACGAGCUCCCAAGAAGCCACUGGAAGAGGAGACUUGGGAGGACAGGGGAUGCGACAAGGAAAUAAAGAAAGAAAUCCGGGCGUAGGUUCCAAGGCAGAGGAUGGCACGUUGUGGGCAGCCUGGCCUUCUUGCCGUCUCUCCCUGGUCUAACCGUUUAGAUCAAUGUAAACUUUAGGAAUAGAAGAGCUGAAAAAAACAAGCUAAGAACUGACUGAAAGAGUGUGCACUUCAUCAAAGCUGCUCUGUUUGGUAUUUCUGUUUCAUUUCUCAAUCAAUGAUCAAAAUUUAAAAAUAUCCGCAAAGACGUUUUAUAAAUUGUGAUAAAAUAUACAUAACCUAAAACUUAUCAUCUUCAUCACUUGUUCAGUGGCACUAAGAACAUUUGCAUUGCUGUGCAGCUGUCACCACCAUCCAUCUCCCCAAGAUUUUCAUCUUCCCAAACUGAAACUCUGCACCCAUUAGACACUAACUCUCCAUUCCUCCCCCUCCAGCCCCUGACACCGCUGUUCUGCUUCCUGUCUCUGUGAAUCUGACUGCUCCAGGGACCUCAUAUCAGUGGAAUCAUACAGUAUCUGUCCUUCGGUGACUGGCUUAUUUCACUGAGCAUAGUGUCCCCAAGAUUCAUCCAUGUUGUAGCAUAUGUCAGCAUUUCCCUCCUUUUUAAGGCUGAGUAAUGCUCCACUGUAUGUAUACACCACAUUUUCAUUAUCCAUUCGUCCAUCAAUGGGUUAUUUCCACUUUUCGGCUAUUGUGAAUAAUGCUGCUAUGAACAUGGGGUACAAAUAUCUGUUCAAGUCCCUGCUUUCAAUUCCUUUGGGUCCCAGAAAGGAAAUUGCUGAAUCAUGUGGUAAUUUUAUUUUUAACUUUUGAGGAACUGCCAUGCCAUGCACAAAUGCUUUAACACUGACUCUGCCAGCUCAGACAAACCAUUCUCUCUGUCUAACUAACUGUGAGUGAUUCAGGAUCAUCAGGGACUUGCUGUUACUUGGUAGCGCUGGGUUGGAAUAUUUUAAUUUAACAAGGGAUUCAUUUCAAUUUUUAAAAAUCUAGGAAGAAUCUUGCUGAUGUCAGCCCAUCCUUUGGGGGCAUGGCCGUGUCCCCCAAUCAGGUUUGGUGAGGAAGACAGAAUAAGAGCGCUGGGAGAUGUUCCCAUCUCUAUUCCCAGAACCUGCUACCUUAUAUGGUAAGAGGGGCUUUGCAGGUGUGAUUGAGGACCCUGAGACCUGGAGAGGAGCCUGGAUUAUCCAGGCGGUCCCAGUGUAAUCACAGCAUCCCUCUUGGUGAAUGAGGGAGGCAGGAGAGGCUCUGAGGAAGAUGUGACUGUGGCAGAAAGCCAUAGAGAGAUGCAGUGUUUUGCAGAUGGAGGAAAAGGCCAUGAGCUGAGGAAUGUGGGUGUUUUGAGGUCAAGGAAAUGGAUUCUUCCGUAGAGCCUGCAGAAUGAGCUGCAAUCCUGCCUUCACCUUGAUUUUAGACCAGCGAGAGCCAUUUCCCACUUCUGACCUCCAGAGCUGAAAGAUAAUAAAUUUAUGUUGUGCAAACCACUGGGUUUGUGGGGAUUUGCUACAGCGGUGGCAGGACACUAAUCCAGAUGGGGCCAUAGGGUCAUGUGUUCACGUUUUGUACUUGCCCUGUGUUUUCGCCAACGAAACCGGAAGUGCCCUGGGAGCGAGCCCUCACAGGGCCUCGUGGGAGGGGCAAGGUGAGCACUCCCUGUGUGUCAGCACAAAGGGGAGGAAGGGCAAGCCGGCCGGGCAGGGCGCAGUGCUGCCUCCAAACACGAGGGCCAAGAGGCUGCGCCUUCUGUAGUUCAAGAGCUCGGACGACAGCCCUGGAGGGGCCGCCGCCCUGCCCACUCAUCCACUGGUCUCCAAGCUUUAUAAAAAACGCGGUUCUGCUAAGAAUAGCUCCACUUAAAUUACUCUGACCAGAUACUAGUUUUAAUGGUAGUAAAUGAGUAAUUUAUUUAACCUCUUUGAACUUCAUUUAAAAAAAAUUUUUUUAAAUGGGGAAUAGUAUUACUUCACAGGGCAGUGAUGACUUUCAAAUUAUCUAAUUUAUGAGAAAGUAUCCAGCACAGUGCCCUUAAAAGCAAGCCCAUAAUAAGCACUUAAGGACUGAAAAAAAAACAUUUCAGAUAAAUGCAGGGUCACAGUGCUCAAGGCCCCUGAUUCUUGGUGAAGCGUUAUCUUCUCUGGUGUGCGCUCUUUCUGGGCUAUGUGAGCAAAUUCGCUGGCUUGCCUUGCAUCAGAGCUCCCUGCCUCAUUCCUUUCCUUUAGAGAAAAAGACAGACAGAGGGGAUAAAAAACCUCCUUAGUAUUAAGAAGCUCAAGAAGGCCAAGAUCUUCGUUCUCUGUGUUUCUCUGCUAAGAGAUGUUUUCCUGUCCCAUUAAGAGAGUUUGAAUCUGUUCCCAGGCUCAGUUAAAGGGACUGCUACUCUUACAAGGGACAACAUAUUUUGAGAAAAAUUUAAACAAUGCCUUUGAACAUGCUUUUGUUAUAGUGUCAAUGUCUGCCAAAAUUUCAGGAUCAAAGAAAUCUGAAUAGGUUUAUACAACAGUGAACACUUUCUAAAAAAUAGUAGAUUAUUGGGAAGGGCAUGUCAAGUAUUAAACAUUUAUGGUUCCAUUUUCUUUUCCUUGCCCACUAAGGAAAAUAGACUCAGAAUGAAUUACUUUUAGUUUUUUUUAAUUAAAAAAAUUUUUGGUAAACGAUACAUAACGUAAAAUAUAUUGAUGUAGAGGUCAUUAGAGUGGGCCCAAAUCCACUAUGACCGAUGUCCUUAAAAAAGGGGAAAUUUGGACACAGAGAUAGACAGGCACAGAGGGAAGAGGAGGUGACUACACACAGGGAGAAGUCCAGGUAAAGACGGAGGAUGGGAGUGGUGCAUCUACAAGCCAAGGAACGCCUCGGGCUACCAGAAGCCAGGAGAGAGGCACAGAGGAGUUCUUCUCUAGCACCUUCAGAGGGAGCAGGGACCUGCCAAUACUUUGAUUGCAGACUUCCGGCCUCCAGAACUGUGAGACUAUCCAUUUCUCUUGCUCUAAUCCACUCAGUUUGUGGUACUUUGUUACGGCAGCCGCAGCAAACGAACACACAUACAAUCAACGUUAUUUUUCUUCCUUAGACCAUUCAUUCAACAAAUAUUUUAAGUUAAGUGCUAGAAAUUUGUUCAAAGGUGAAAAAGACCUUGUUUCUGCUCACAGGUUGCUUAUGUCCUAAUAGGGGAGACGGAAAGUGAGCAAACAAUUACAGUGAAACAUGGCUAGUGUCAUGCUAUGGUCAAGGCAAGGGGAGGUGUCAGGGCAGCCCCAGAGAGGGGCCUUUAACCCCGCCUGGGCAUCAGAGAUGGACAGCUUCGUGGAGCGAGUGAUAGUCCAAAGUUGAUGAUGUGGUAGUAUUUUGAAUAAGAACAAGGCUGUCAUGGAACAAGGUUGUUAGUGACUUUUUGUCGUUAUAAUGGAACAAGCUAAGUUCUAAGCUGAUAUGAAAAAUGACAGGGAACAAGCAAGAUUAGAGGGAGGCCGAUGUGUUUGUUUCACUUAGCAGUUUUGCUUCCUGAACAAUUUGAGCUAGGACACCUCUAUACUAAAUUUCGUUGGUUGGUAGUGGCAAGGGGGCACUCGGGUAGGGUGGGGUGAUGAUAAGAUCAAGGACCAUCAAUCACCAGGCAGAGACCAAUGUCUUCUUGAGGCAGAAUGUUCCCUUUACUUAGCUUGCUUUCUUCAACGUGUGCCAGGUGGCAGGAGAAGAUUCCAAAGCUUGGCCUUGGCCACUGGGUAAAGUUGUGUAGGUUAUGGACUGCACAAGGGGAGAUUGGGGACUGAAAUCCAGCAUGUGCCCGCAUACCAAGCUAUGUGUCUGGGCAUGAGUCUAUGCCUGCCCAGAGGACAGGUACCACUUUGCUUGGCACAAUGGUGUCAUCUUCUUGCCAGAUAAUAUGCCACUGAUUCUGGUUUCAUCCAGAGGGGGCACCUUUUUCUAAUUCACACAAAGGCGCCAUCUAUCCUAGUGGUAGUCCUGAGCAUAGCAUUUGGUCUUGUUGUGUGACAAGGCAUUUGUUUCUUUGAAAUAAAGCCUAUUCUACAUGUUGGAAGGCUGCCCAAGGAGUCCUUGUUAUACACUUAGAGACUGGCCCACGGCAACUCUAAUUGUAUUCACAUCUCAUUAGCUAAAUUACUACCUCCCAGUUAACUUGCUAGUCUGAGCCUUCGCCAUACGGCUUCUGGCUCAUGCCCCUGAAGCUGAGACCACACCUGGUUUCUGUGGAACCUGGUGAAGAAGCGGCACAGUAAAGCUCUAAGCAGUUGGCUAAUAAAGUUAGUUAUAAAUACUGUCUGUGCAACUCGGACAAGUUGCUCUACCAAUUUCAUUCUUGUUCAUUCAUAUACAUAAAUGUCUAAUACUUUGUAAUUUACCCUGAGUUGGAGUGUUUUCUCCUCUUGACCCCACCACAAAUGUAGUUUGGGAGGUAGGUAAAUGGAUCUGCUACAAGGCUUAAGGGGUGGCUUCAGUCCAGAGUAGAAACAGACAAUAGGUUCUAAUGCUUAUUGUCAGGAGGAUGGUGAGGAAGGGAGUCUGUUGACAGCAGGCGCAAUACAUCCUGUCUGUCUGUGAGCAGAGGGAAGAACAAUCAUAUGGGGACAGUGUGGAGGUUACACAGGGGCCCAAAUGGACUUCCAGAUGUCAGUGGGGAAACAGAAGGAGUGGGGUGGAAGCACUUGGUAAGGAAAUGAGAUUCCCAAUCUGGUCGCUCUGGGGGAGGGAAAUCCUGCUCACCAGCAAAAUUGGAAUUUCUUAUGUGUCAGUCUGUGGGUUCACAUGAAGACACUCUAAGAACAAUGACUUAAUUAAAUAUCACUGACUUAUCGCCCCACUUGCUUAUUACAGAAUCUCUCCAGACUCUCCUCACAUUCUAUGCUGGUUUUUUCUGGGCAUCUCACGUCAGCGCAAGAGCGGUUCUUUUCAGUCCCCUUCCAUUCUUCAGCACCCUCCCCCCAGGGCUGUCGUCCAAGCUCUUGAGGCGCUGUGACAGUAGAGUGUCGCUGUGGUGUGUGUUUGGGGACAGCGUGGCACCCGUGCUCAGGCCUGAUUCUCCUUCCCCACUCUGCGCUGCAUUCCCCAGGUUUUUGGAGCAAACCAUGCUGGGUUCUACCCUCUUGCCCCUGUCCCACGUUGCCAUGGGAGCCCUGCAAAAUACCACAGGUGCCCUGAGUUUGUCUGAAUCCCCUAUGAAGUCAGCUCCUGUCUCGCUCCUGGCUGCAGCUACUCUCUCCUCGUGGCUCUGUCACUCAUUGGAGGGCUGGGUUGGGCGCCAGGACACCAGGCUGUCCUCUCCACUCCACCUCUACACCCAGGAGCUCACCCUCAAGGCAAGGUGAACAUCAUCACCUCCACCCCACAAAUAUCCAGAAGAGAUGGCACGUGUCCUUUGCUAAGGUGAGGAUUGGUUUCCUGCCAAAGUUGAGCUGAGUUUUAAUUACUAAUGUUUUAGGGCUGCUCUCCAGUCUUGAGAGGCCUCUGGGAACAAGCUCCCUGAGAGCAAGAACAGGUGCCCCCGGCUCUCAGAGAUGACUUUGGUGGCUUGUCCCUGAUUCCAAGAUUCUGGAAGCCUGAAUGUGGCUGUGAAAUCCUGAAGUCAAAACACAUAAAAUAUUGAACGAUAAAAUCCAAUUUAAAAAUUGAACAAAAAACAAACAACUGCUGAUGGACAGCCAUCAGGGUGUGGAUGUGGAGGAAGAAAGCCCAGCACGGACAGGCCAAUAGCUUGGUCCCUUGGGAGGCAACAGUGGGCAAAUCCGACUCAUUGUGAAAUGCUGUGGCCGGGGAGCAAGGUCAGAGUGACAAGCACUUUUCUCUUCUAAAUGACUCUAGAUGUGAUGUUUGCCACCCUGGCUGGUGGAGGAGUCAUUACUAAGAGCUGCAGACACGGAUCAGGUUGGACUUGACACCAGGGACCACUAGGGAGUGUUUCUGUGUUAAGAUGUCUUUCACUUCCUUUCAUUUCAUUACCAAAAAUGAGGUGGGAAAAGGAAAAAUAGAAGGGAGGUGCUGUGCUCUGAAUAUCUGUGUCCCUUCAAAAUUCAUAUGUUGAAACCUACCCCCCAAUGUGAUGGUGUUAGCAGGUGGGGCCUUUUGGGGGAGCUUAGGUCCUGAGGGUGGAGCCCUCUCGAAUGGGGUUAGUGCCUUUAUAAAAGGGACCCCAGAGCGCUCCCUCACUUCCUCCUGCCGUGGGAGGACAUGGCUGUCUGUGAUCCAGGAGGCAGGCCCUCACCAGACACCAAAUCUGCCCACACGUUGGACUUCCAGCCUCCAGAACUGGGAGAAAUAAAUGUCUAUUGUUUAUAAGCUCCUUCUUCUAUGGUAUUUCUGUCAUAGCAGCCGGAGUGGACUAAAACAGGAGAAGACGUGACAAAGACCAUGGUCCUGGCUCUGGUAAAAGUUACGGCUCAUGAGUGUUGUUAUUUAUUUAUUUUUUUUGAGCACUAUGUCAGGCUCUGAAGAGUGACAGUGGAAGGAAAGCUGAAGGACUCCGAGUGCUGGGCAGCUGGCAGCUCCGCCUGUCCAGGCCUCGCGGCACCAAACCUGCCUGUGCUGGCUGCCGGGAGCACCUCCUGCUCUCCACCCUCAGAACGGCUGCGCCUGCCCCUGCCUCCUGCCCCUCUCAGCUCCCAGAGCACAGCGUUUGUUCGGGUUUCCAUGCUGCCUCCUUGCUCUGACGCCCUUCUCAGCCUGGCCUCCUGUCUCUCUCCUUCCUUCAUCCGUCCCACACUCAUGGAACCCUCACCCACUGGGUCAGACCCACGCCUUCCACCACCUAAAGGGAUUCAGACGACAUGAGUCAGAUAUGAAAAGGGUGAGGAUGCACCCGGUAAACCGGUAAAGAGAAUCACCUCUUACAGGGAAGGGUGUGAAGGAACUGUUCAGGAGGGUGACAAGGGGACUCUUUGGCAGGGGGAUGGGCUUAGAGUGGCUGUAGGAGGCCUGGGUCCACAGUCGGCCUCAAUAAACACUUGUUCAUUCAUUGAGUUUCAGAGAUCACAACUAUUAACAGAAAAGCAUGCACUUGGGUGAAAUUCUCUUUUAUUAUACACUUUAUUUAGUCUAAAAUUGAGUUCAUUCCCUAAUGGUAGCAAAAAUACAGUGUGCCCCAGUCCUCAGGAAUGGAACACCAAGUUGACAGCCAGGGAACCUUGCUGGACUGCUCCUGUCAUGGGUACUAGGACCUCCAAGGUCUCAUCCAUCCUUGGAGGUCCAGCUCAUGGUCUCCCUCCACCACAUAGCCAAAUCACGUCCUUCCCCAGGAAACCAUGAAGCACGUUUCAUUCUUCUCUUUUGUUAUUGACCACGGGCUAUCCAGCGCAAGAGAUUUUCAAUAUGUUCCUUCUUCCCUUUUCCAAAAAUAUAAGCUGAUUUUGGACAGGGAUUACGUUAUAUAUUAUUCAUUUUCUAUAUUUUAUGUUCUAUUUAAUACACUGGCCAGAAAGAGGUUGAUGCUGAAUAAAUAUUUAUAGGAGGGAGGAAAGAGGAAGAGAGGGAGGAGAGAGAAAGUGAAAAAGCCACCUAUCGCAGUCCAUCCAUCCAGGUGGGUCUGACAGUGAGUGAUCAAAGGGUUUUUUGGUGAAGAACAUAGCGGAGUUCCUCCAAUUCAUGAAACUCAGUGGUUCGGUAUACUCCUUAAGCAUCAUGGUCUUAAAUUUCUUUUUUGUUAUGCUCUCAUUAAUGAAUUAAUAUAACUCCUUUUUUUUUUUUUUUUUGCCUACUUCAGUAUUUAGCUUGUUUGCUGCUUGACUUUGAUUCUGUAAGCCCACCGCUAAACCCAUCAGUGCUCCUUAUUGUAAGGUCUCCAACAGCCAAGGCAGCAGCAGCCAGGGAGAGCCUGGGCUUGGGGUCAGACAGAUUUGAAUCAAGCUUGCUGAGCUCGUGGGCUGGGGAUACUGGGGCGAGUUCCCUCCCUUCUCUACCCACAACUUCCUUUUCUAGGACGUGGGUCAUCACGUUACCACCCAUGGGUGGUUAUUGGGGUUGAUAUUGAGAUGCAGGUCAAGUAUCUAGCUCAACGCCUCGCACACAGCACAUACUCAAAUCAUUGUUAGCUUGUCCACAAUUAUUAGUGUCGUUGUUCUGACUGCUCGGAUGUCUUUCUACCCUCACACAUUUUCAUUGUUUCAGUCUAUCUUUAUGUGGAAACCUUGUCCUACCCCUUUGAUCAUUUCUCUGGCCCCUUCUCAAAUUUUUUUUGCACAACUUCUGUGUAGAAGAAAAGGAGGGAAGCUCACAAUAAAAUGAUACACGGCAUGGAUGUUUUCUUUCUUUCCAUUCUUGGCUGGGUUUCAGGGAAUUCGUAACAAUAUCAGCUGGAGGAAGAAAGCCUUGUUUUCAGCUGAAACAACAUCGAUGCAUAAAUUCUUUUACUCAGGAGGGAAGAGACCAAGAUAUUGGAGGAAAGAAUUUGGUUUUGUCACACAUUUGCAAGGAAAGCUGGGUUAGAGGAGAAAAAAAUUCAGGCUGGCACAUUUGAAGGCAGCUGAAGGCUUCAGUUCCAAAUGGAACAACUGAAGUUAUUUACAAACUAGCUGCAAAAGAGCUCUUUUCUGGGUCCUCAGGAGCCCCGGCUUGCCAGAUCAAAUGACUGGGAAAUUGGAGGAACUUGUUUUGCUGACUGAGGAGAACGUAGCUGCUUUCAAUCCAAGACUGAAGCGCUGAGAUGAGGGUUGGUGGUUGGAGCAUGUAGCUCAGUGAACAGGCCCUCUCCCAAGUCUAAUAAAACUAGCUACACUUGGAAGAAAUCAAGGUGCCAAGGAACGAUUCCAGGACUUAAAAAGGAAUGUGGGCUUGUGGGUGAGGGUGGGGCUCAGACUGUCUGCCCCCAUCACGCAGGAGGGGUAGGAGAGGAAAGUCAGGGAACGGGGCUUUAGCACCACAGAUGAGUAUCUACCUGCUAGGGACUGAAUGUUGUGCCCCCCCAAAUUCAUAUGUUGAAAUCCCAACCCCCGAUGGGGUGGUAUUAGGAGGUGGGCCUCUGGGGGGUGAUUAGGUGAUUAGUGCCCUUAUAAAGGGGACCCGGGAAAACUCCCUCGCCCCUUCUGCCAUGUAAGGAUGCAC
ensembl:lncRNA